CUGGUCCGCCGAGGCCGUCCGGGCCCCGCCCACCCGGAGACGACCGCGCCGCGGGCGGGAGUGCGCGGAGGACUGGUGCCUCGGUCGGCCUCGUCCUCCCGCGACCCGUCUGCGUCUGGUCGGCCCCCGCCCGCCGCCAGCCCCGUAGCCCGUCAGGGGGUCAGGUCAGACACCCAGCACCGACUGCUGAUCUCGGACUGGGGCCGUGGGGACACCUGGGGAAUUCUGACACUGCUGAUAUUCUCUGUCGUGGCUUUCAAAGCUUCUCAGAUCGAUUUCUUUUCUCCUCUCCGUGCUCUGCCUGCUCCCUCGGCCCUACGGCUCCCAGCAAACUCCUACCCUUGAAGGUCCACUUCAAAUGUUGCCUCUGCGAGUCUUUUCCAGCACCUUCCUCAUCGGGAGUCCGGCACGGGCGCCUCUUUUUGGCCGCACAGAAAUGUCUACACACUGCUGUUGGGGCUCCUAACCCUUUCAACACAAAUUGUAUUUACUGGCAGCAGUUAUUUGCCUGGCCCUGCUGUGUGCUUCUCUGCCUCUCCCCAGAUCUGAGGGCACGAGCCACGCCGUCUGGAAUCCCUGAGGCCCCCCCCUCCCCGACAGCGUCUCCAGGCAAGGUUCCUAACCUCCGCCUGGGGCUGUUGUGAGGACUAGACGGCAUCCCGCCGGAGGGGGCGGGCACUUAGGAGCCGUUACCCACCCACUCGUCGAUUCUCACUGCAAGUCCUCAUCUGGGGUCCCUAACGUGCAGGGCAGGGACCAGAAAGAUCAGGUCGUAUCUUCUAGUGGGGGACUGACACAAGUGUCCCCGCGGCCCUGCUUGGAAGGCAUCGUUAUCCCCGUUGUAUGGAUGAGAAAUCCAAGCCUGAGAGAAGUUCGCUCAUUUCUCGGACACUGAGCCAGGCUGCUGAGAAGCUCGCGUGGAACUCGUGUGUGUCUUACACCAAAAUGUGUGUUCUUCCCACUCUUCCAGGCUGCCCUACUUCUUGAUAAAGAAAUAAUUUUGUGACCCAAAUAAAUCGAACUGGUGACAUUUCCA